AGUUACAAAAUGGCACUUGAGUCCGUUGUUUAUAAUUUUAUUAAUUUAAAAACAAAUAUAUUUAGAAUAUUCAUAAUGAGGGUGUGAAAAUAUGACAAAACAAAUAAUUAGUUGCUGAAAAUCAACUUUACAAUGAACAUUAGUGCAUACUAGAGAUUAUUGUUGCCAUUACUGAUCGAUGAAUUAACUUCGGAUCAACUUAAUCAUUAUUUGAAGAGGGCUUAAACUACUCACUGACAGUUAGUUAGCUGUCACUCGUCAAAUUUUUUCGACGAAAUUAUUCAAAUAACAAUAUAAAUAAAUAUUUGGUUAGAAUUAAUUGAAAAUUAUAAAAUAAUCAACUAUUAGGGACGGUAAGUUGUUAUUAUCGUUUUAUAUAAUGGAUGAACCCUGUAUACGAGAGGUUAGAAUGAAUGUACUCACUAUAUUUCGAUUGAGAAUCGGAUUGUCCAUACAGUUGUGUCCUAAAAAGUUGAAUACACUAUAAUCUUGAAAAGUUUUACAAACUUUUAUGGAAGAAACGAAUAGUAUCGAAAGUGGCAAAAUAAAAACAAAACUUAAAAUGUAUUUUCUCAUUAUUUUACGCAGAAAACUGAAUCGUUUCACUUAACAAUUAUAUCUAAAUUGCCAGUUAUAUAUUAUCACUUAUUUAUUCCAGUAAUAACUUUCGUUUAAAAAAAAAAAAAGGUUUUCCGAUAACCUUGUGCAUAAAAAAAUAUAUUUAUUUUUUUAUAUUUUCCAAAAAACGAUCAAGGAAAGCCAGUAAUUUAUGAGCAUAUAUUAAAUACCUUAAAAAAUCUUAUUAUAAUUAACUGUAUCGUUUGUUGGUGGAAAUCGUUUUUUUUUUUUUUCAAACAACAACUUAUAUUUAAUGAGUUUGUUUUCUAAUUAGAUCGAAAAAUUAUUUUGUUUAUUGUUUUUUCUACGUAGGAGUGGUCACUUUCAACUAAUAACUGUCACUCCGUCUAUAGAAACCAUUACGUGUAUCAAAUCAUAAAGUACAGAAUUAUAACACUAGAUGGCAGUAGAGGGUUAUGAAUAAUGCACUUUUAAAUAAUUCUCGAAACAUUAUUUAAAACGAUAAUAACGUUAUAAUUAUUAUUCCUCGUAUUAGUUCUCAAUUAUUUACUUGGCAUAUUUCUUUGUAUUAUCGUAAUUUUGAAAACCUCCCACCAUCUAUAUGUCAAAAUAAAUACUUAUCGUUUCUAAUACUAGAUGGCGACUAAACUAUAGGAAAAAUAUUUUAUACAGCUUAAACUGAACAAUGAUUAAUCGUUUCAUCAAUUAAUUAAAAGCUUCAAUUACU